UGGGGAAUAUUGGACAAUGGGCGCAAGCCUGAUCCAGCAAUACCACGUGAGUGAUGAAGGCCUUCGGGUUGUAAAACUCUUUUAGUAGGGAAGAUAAUGACGGUACCUACAGAAAAAGCACCGGCUAACUUCGUGCCAGCAGCCGCGGUAAUACGAAGGGUGCUAGCGUUGUUCGGAAUCAUUGGGCGUAAAGCGUACGUAGGCGGUUUAGUAAGUCAACUGUGAAAUCCCAGAGCUUAACUUUGGAAUUGCGAUUGAAACUGCUAUGACUAGAGUAUGGUAGGGGAUAGUGGAAUUCCUAGUGUAGGGGUGAAAUCCGUAGAUAUUAGGAGGAACACCGGUGGCGAAAGCGACUAUCUAGGCCAUUACUGACGCUAAGGUACGAAAGCGUGGGGAGCAAACA
rnacentral:rRNA from 1 species